GCCAACGACCAUACCACGCUGGGUCUACCGGUUCCCUUCCGCACACCGAAGUCAAGCAGCGUUGGGUGCGGUUAGUACUUAGAUGGGUGACCGCUUGGGAACACCGCAUGCCGUUGGCA
rfam:Hordeum vulgare subsp. vulgare, WGS project CAJW01000000 data, contig: morex_contig_13077